rnacentral:rRNA from 1 species
UACGUAGGGCGCAAGCGUUGUCCGGGAUUAUUGGGCGUAAAGAGCUCGUAGGCGGUUUGUCGCGUCUGCUGUGAAAACCUAAGGCUCAACCUUGGGCUUGCAGUGGGUACGGGCAGACUAGAGUGCGGUAGGGGUGACUGGAAUUCCUGGUGUAGCGGUGGAAUGCGCAGAUAUCAGGAGGAACACCGAUGGCGAAGGCAGGUCACUGGGCCGCAACUGACGCUGAGGAGCGAAAGCAUGGGGAGCGAACAGG